AACGAACGCUGGCGGCAGGCCUAACACAUGCAAGUCGAGCGAGGACUUCGGUUCUAGCGGCGGACGGGUGAGUAACGCGUGGGAAUGUGCCCUUCUCUACGGAAUAGCCCUGGGAAACUGGGAGUAAUACCGUAUACGCCCUAUUGGGGAAAGAUUUAUCGGAGAAGGAUCAGCCCGCGUUGGAUUAGGUAGUUGGUGGGGUAAUGGCCUACCAAGCCGACGAUCCAUAGCUGGUUUGAGAGGAUGAUCAGCCACACUGGGACUGAGAUACGGCCCAGACUCCUACGGGAGGCAGCAGUGGGGAAUCUUAGACAAUGGGGGCAACCCUGAUCGAGCCAUGCCGCGUGAGUGAUGAAGGCCUUAGGGUUGUAAAGCUCUUUCAGCUGGGAAGAUAAUGACGGUACCAGCAGAAGAAGCCCCGGCUAACUCCGUG
rnacentral:rRNA from 1 species